rnacentral:rRNA from 1 species
UACGUAGGGUGCGAGCGUUGUCCGGAAUUAUUGGGCGUAAAGGGCGCGUAGGCGGCUUGGUAAGUCGGAUGUGAAAUCCCAGAGCUUAACUUUGGAAGUGCAUCCGAAACUUGCUGAACUAGAGUCUCGGAGAGGGUGGUAGGAAUUCCCAGUGUAGAGGUGAAAUUCGUAGAUAUUGGGAGGAAUACCGGUGGCGAAGGCGACCACCUCGGAGCGAAGACUGACGCUGAGGCGCGAAGAGCGUGGGGAGCAAACGAGG